rnacentral:rRNA from 1 species
UACGUAGGGUGCGAGCGUUAAUCGGAAUUACUGGGCGUAAAGCGUGCGCAGGCGGUUUUGUAAGCCAGAUGUGAAAUCCCCGGGCUCAACCUGGGAAUGGCAUUUGGGACUGCAAGGCUGGAGUGCGGCAGAGGAGACUGGAAUUCCUGGUGUAGCAGUGAAAUGCGUAGAUAUCAGGAGGAAUACCGAGUGGCGAAGGCGGGUCUCUGGGCAUCUCCUGACGCUGAGGCGCGAAAGCGUGGGGAGCAAACGGG